rnacentral:rRNA from 1 species
UAUCGGAACGUGCCCAGUCGUGGGGGAUAACGUAGAGAAAUUUACGCUAAUACCGCAUGAGAUCCACGGAUGAAAGCGGGGGACUUCGCAAGGAGCCUCGCGCGACUGGAGCGGCUGAUAUCAGAUUAGGUUGUUGGUGAGGUAAAAGCUCACCAAGCCGACGAUCUGUAGCUGGUUUGAGAGAACGACCAGCCACACUGGGACUGAGACACGGCCCAG